rnacentral:rRNA from 1 species
CCAGCUGCCCCUCAGUACCGAGGGAGGCGCCCAUGACUCUAAACAACGGGCGCCGCGCCGGCUAGUCCCCGCCGGAGCUCGCACGCACCGGCCCGGGCAACAUCGUCAAACUGCGGGAAAGCCCUGCCACGACUCUCGGGACCUCACCGCUCCAGCGAUGGACGCGGGUGCCUCCGGCCAGCGGCCGCGGGUACGGUAAAGCACCGGAGUCUAGGGGCGAUCCGCCGCCAAACCCUCCCCCCGCCGGGAGGGCGCAGCUCACAGGCCAGACGGCGAUGGGCGCACGCGCGCUUAAGAUAUGGUCGAGUGAUCCGUCGAGAGGCGGGUGCAACUCAGGAACGUCCGUAGGUGAACCUGCGGAAGGAUCAUU